rnacentral:lncRNA from 1 species
UCAAUCAAACAUAUCUUCUAGUAAACCUACUCAUGCUGCCUCAAUUCAUACCCUCUGUGAACCUUUUGCUUUAGCCAUAUUGAUCCUAUGCCUUCUUCCUAAUUAUAGCAAAACCAAAAUGAGUAACGGAAGAGAACUCUGAUAUCAUUUUCUAGGAAUAAUCCAUUGCAGAUAAAAUUGAAACGAUUAAAACAAACGAUGAUAGUAAUAUAAUGGUUCCUUCUAAGAUCCUCAGGUUGGCGAUCUUUACCCAGAUGGAUUAGAUUCAGAUAUUUCUAGUUAAAGUAGAACCAAAUACAAGAUAAGAACCAAUAUUAGAUGUUCCAGGACAACAUUAUUUAUUCAAAACAGUCAUCUGGAUCCAUCUGUAAAGAUAAGGAGAAUUGAUAAAUGAACACCGUCACCUUAUCUUGGCAAGCAAUAGUUUACAACAACGAAAACUUUAUCACCAGCUGCUUUUGUCAACAACGAAAUCUAAGAUGAGUUGUAUUUAAAAAGCCUCAUUGUUCCUCUUUGAACUCUAGGGAGAGGGAAGAGUGGA